rnacentral:rRNA from 1 species
CCUACGGGGUGCAGCAGUGGGGGAUAUUGCACAAUGGGGGGAACCCUGAUGCAGCGACGCCGCGUGGGUGAAGGAGUGCUUCGGCAUGUAAAGCCCUAUCGGCAGGGAAGAAGCAAGACGGUACCUGACUAAGAAGCCCCGGCUAACUACGUGCCAGCAGCCGCGGUAAUACGUAGGGGGCGAGCGUUAUCCGGAUUCACUGGGUGUAAAGGGAGCGUAGACGGCCAUGCAAGCCAGGGGUGAAAGCCCGGGGCCCAACCCCGGGACUGCCCUUGGAACUGUGCGGCUAGAGUGCGGGAGGGGCAGGCGGAAUUCCUGGUGUAGCGGUGAAAUGCGUAGAUAUCAGGAGGAACACCGGCGGCGAAGGCGGCCUGCUGGACUGCGACUGACGUUGAGGCUCGAAAGCGUGGGGAGCGAACAGGAUUAGAUACCCCGGUAGUC